GGCGGGGUAGCUUAGUUGGCUAGAGCACUCGGUUCAUACCCGGGGGGUCGUGGGUUCGAGUCCCACCCCCGCUACCA
rnacentral:tRNA from 1 species